rnacentral:SRP_RNA from 1 species
CACUUAGACCUUUACAACUAUACUUAAAGGCAACUCCCCAGGGUAGGAAUACAGCAAGGAACUUUUUCUUGUAGUGUGUUUUGGUAUCUGGGUGGAG